UGACCUCAAAUCAGGUAGGAAUACCCGCUGAACUUAAGCAUAUCAAUAAGCGGAGGAAAAGAAACCAACCGGGAUUGCCUUAGUAACGGCGAGUGAAGCGGCAAAAGCUCAAAUUUGAAAUCUGGCGUCUUCGACGUCCGAGUUGUAAUUUGAAGAAGGCAACUUUGUAGCUGGUCCUUGUCUAUGUUCCUUGGAACAGGACGUCAUAGAGGGUGAGAAUCCCGUGUGGCGAGGAUCCCAGUUAUUUGUAAAGUGCUUUCGACGAGUCGAGUUGUUUGGGAAUGCAGCUCUAAGUGGGUGGUAAAUUCCAUCUAAAGCUAAAUAUUGGCGAGAGACCGAUAGCGAACAAGUACAGUGAUGGAAAGAUGAAAAGAACUUUGAAAAGAGAGUGAAAAAGUACGUGAAAUUGUUGAAAGGGAAGGGCAUUUGAUCAGACAUGGCGUUUGCUUCGGCUUUCGCUGGGCCAGCAUCAGUUUUAGCGGUUGGAUAAAUCCUCGGGAAUGUGGCUCUGCUUCGGUAGAGUGUUAUAGCCCGUGGGAAUACAGCCAGCUGGGACUGAGGAUUGCGACUUUUGUCAAGGAUGCUGGCGUAAUGGUUAAAUGCCGCCCGUCUUGAAACACGGACCAAGGAGUCUAACGUCUAUGCGAGUGUUUGGGUGUAAAACCCGUACGCGUAAUGAAAGUGAA
rnacentral:ncRNA from 1 species